AUUGAACGCUGGCGGCAGGCCUAACACAUGCAAGUCGAGCGGAUGAAGAGAGCUUGCUCUCUGAUUUAGCGGCGGACGGGUGAGUAAUGCCUAGGAAUCUGCCUGGUAGUGGGGGAUAACGUUCCGAAAGGAACGCUAAUACCGCAUACGUCCUACGGGAGAAAGCAGGGGACCUUCGGGCCUUGCGCUAUCAGAUGAGCCUAGGUCGGAUUAGCUAGUUGGUGAGGUAAUGGCUCACCAAGGCGACGAUCCGUAACUGGUCUGAGAGGAUGAUCAGUCACACUGGAACUGAGAUACGGUCCAGACUCCUACGGGAGGCAGCGGUGGGGAAUAUUGGACAAUGGGCGAAAGCCUGAUCCAGCCAUGCCGCGUGUGUGAAGAAGGUCUUCGGAUUGUAAAGCACUUUAAGUUGGGAGGAAGGGCAUUAACCUAAUACGUUAGUGUUUUGACGUUACCAACAGAAUAAGCACCGGCUAACUUCGUGCCAGCCGCCGCAGUAAUAC
rnacentral:rRNA from 1 species